ensembl:snoRNA small nucleolar RNA, C/D box 49B
CGCCCUGAUGCUAACGGGAUUAGGAAGUGCUGUCAGAAUCGACAACUGACGAUUUUUAUGCCUGUCUGACC